UGAUUCUGCCACUCUGAAACUUCACAACAUUUUUUUUUAUUAGGAAAUUUACAAACGCUGCCAUGGAAUGCCUCCCAACAUACACUCUGCAGACUCUUCCUGUCUUCGUGCUAGGAGGAAGAGAUGCCAACAGCGAAGAAGCAGUCUUGGACCUUUCAUCUUCAGAGAAUGUCACAAGGAACAGAGAUAAGCCACCCCUGCUGAGCCCUGCCCAAUCUGCAGAUUGGCACUGGGGAAACUCUUUUUCUCCUUACUCCUGGAGAUUCUGAUUUCACUGUGCGACCUGAUGGGGAGUUGCCAGGAGAAGGACUGCGUCGGCCUUUGGAAGCUGGUGAAGCCGCACUUGCCUGGACCUCUCCUGGAGACUCAGCUGCUAAGUGAUUCAUUUCAGAUCCAUCUCCUUUAACUGGGAUUGGUUUUACCACCUGAAUCAAAGUAUUCCAAUAUUUUGAUUACUUAAAAAUAUAAAAGGAAUACCCUUUGCCAUCUCAAUAUGGCUUCAAUGAAGAAUUUCCUACCACCAUUCUACGGCAGUUAGCUGCUCUCCCGCUGCAUAGUCAAUAGAGAUCAUACCACCUGAAAGAUAUGUUCCUAGGACUGGAUAGAUAAGAAGGUAACAAUGUUGACUAGCAACAUCUAGAAUAUGAAGACUGCUGUACAAGGCUGCUUCUGCUGGUAUUGAGGGAGAGAAGAAGCUCUAGCCAGAAGACAAAGGAGGCUUCAACUGUUUAAUAUUAGUUCCUUUAAAAAAUACACAUCCAACUGCACUGCAGCAAGUACAAUAAAAUAUUAACAUUUAUUAAAUAC
rnacentral:lncRNA from 1 species